UGUGCUAUGAAGCUCACCUUCUGGUCACAGCAUCUGCCAAUCAACCUGUGGAUGGACCAGGGCUGCCAUCUUCCCGGGAGACCGUUUCUGCUCUUUCGCCGUACGGCCUCUGUCAUUGGCCAGGACGGCCUCGUUUCAGCCGGAACUCGGAAAUCAGUCACACUUGCAAACGGAAUUAAGAUUCAACUCUGCUACUUAAAUCGUCCCACCGAAUCUUCAACUCCCUUUACAGCCUAGGAAACAGCCUUGACAAGGUGAAGAAUAUCACUCCUGGCCCACACAUUUGGUUUGCUGUGGAGCAAAACAAAGUUGUCUGAAAGCCUUCCCUGAGCACCCCUAUCAAACGUAGAAUCUCCCCUUGUCUGUCCUCUUAUGCUAUUGUUUUCUUCCUAACACUCUUAGGGCUACUUGACAUCCUGUUUAUUUUAGUUUAUUUCUGCUCCUGUAGAAUGUUCUUUCCACAAGAGCAGGGACUUUUGUUGUAUUUUCCACACCUAAAAUAGUGCCUGCCAUUUGGAAUGAACCAAGGAAUGACUAGGAGGAACUUUUGAGCUGAGAUCUGAUUGAAGUUAGGAAUCGAGCCAGGAGUUACCUGUGGAAGAGAAUUCCAGAUAGAAGGAACAGCAAAGGCAAAGCCUGGAAGCAGAUGUGUACUAGAAAUGGCCAAGGAGCCAGUGUGACUGGAACAGAGGUUGUAAGGGAGACAAUACUCAGAGAUGAGAUGAGGUGAGAGAGAGGACGCAGAACCCCUAAAGCCUCAGAGCCCACAGCAGGACUUAGGAUUUUAUUCGGAGACUGAGAGAAACUAUGGGAGAGUUGUUUUAAUUUCUUUUUUUUAACAGCUUUAUUGAGAUAUUUUUGACCCAUAACAAUUGUAUAUAUUUAAAGUGUACAGCUUGAUGUUUUAAUAUAUGUAUACAGUGUGAAAAGAGCACCACAAUUAAGCUAAUUUACAUAUUCGUCACCUCUA